rfam:Triticum aestivum genome assembly, contig: Triticum_aestivum_CS42_TGACv1_scaffold_195914_3AL
UUAGUACUCCCUCCGUCCCAAAAUUCUUGUGUUAGAUUUGUCUAGAUACGGAUGUAUCUAAUACUAAAACGUGACUUGAUACAUCCGUAUUUAGACAAAUCUAAGACAAGAAUUUUGGGACGGAGGGAGUAAUUG